UACGUAGGGGGCAAGCGUUGUCCGGAAUUAUUGGGCGUAAAGAGCGUGUAGGCGGUCCGGUAAGUCAGCUGUGAAAGUCAAGGGCUCAACCCUUGAAAGCCGGUUGAUACUGUCGGGCUAGAGUCCGGAAGAGGCGAGUGGAAUUCCCGGUGUAGCGGUGAAAUGCGCAGAUAUCGGGAGGAACACCGGUGGCGAAGGCGGCGUCCUGGCUCGCAUCUGACGCUCAGACACGACAGCAUGGGGAGCGAACGGG
rnacentral:rRNA from 1 species